AACGAACGCUGGCGGCAGGCUUAACACAUGCAAGUCGAACGCACUCUUCGGAGUGAGUGGCAGACGGGUGAGUAACGCGUGGGAAUCUACCCAUCCCUACGGGAUAGCUCCGGGAAACUGGAAUUAAUACCGUAUACGUCCUUCGGGAGAAAGAUUUAUCGGGGAUGGAUGAGCCCGCGUUGGAUUAGCUAGUUGGUGGGGUAAAGGCCUACCAAGGCGACGAUCCAUAGCUGGUCUAAGAGGAUGAUCAGCCACAUUGGGACUGAGACACGGCCCAAACUCCUACGGGAGGCAGCAGUGGGGAAUAUUGGACAAUGGGCGCAAGCCUGAUCCAGCCAUGCCGCGUGAGUGAUGAAGGCCCUAGGGUUGUAAAGCUCUUUCACCGGUGACGAUAAUGACGGUAACCGGAGAAGAAGCCCCGGCUAACUUCGUGCCAGCCGCCGCCGUAAGAC
rnacentral:rRNA from 1 species